rnacentral:rRNA from 1 species
UACGUAGGGUGCGAGCGUUAAUCGGAAUUACUGGGCGUAAAGCGUGCGCAGGCGGUUGGUUAAGUCUGAUGUGAAAGCCCCGGGCUCAACCUGGGAAUGGCAUUGGAAACUGGCUGGCUAGAGUGCGGCAGAGGGGGGUGGAAUUCCGCGUGUAGCAGUGAAAUGCGUAGAGAUGCGGAGGAACACCGAUGGCGAAGGCAGCCCCCUGGGCUGACACUGACGCUCAUGCACGAAAGCGUGGGGAGCAAACAGG